AUGGCGUCGCCCUUUCCGCCUGGCUCUUCUUCCUCUUCCGCUUCGUCGCCCCUCUCUUACUUGAUCCCUAGGCAGCCGCCGCCUUCCUCCGUCGUGGCGCAGGGCUUCUCGUGCGGCGCUCUGGCGCAGCAGGCCGGAGGAUUAUACGACGGCGACGGCGUCGGCGCGGCGGGCGGCGUCGGGGCGCUGGAGGUGAGGCAGGGGGGCNNNNNNNNNNNNNNNNNNNNNNNNNNNNNNNNNNCGCCGCGGCAGUGCACGCGGUGCAGGUCGGCCGACACCAAGUUCUGCUACUACAACAACUACAGCCGCAAGCAGCCGCGCUACUUCUGCCGCGCGUGCCGCCGGCACUGGACCGAGGGCGGCACGCUCCGCGACGUGCCCGUCGGCGGCGGCCGCAAGAACAGGCGCAACGGCGGGGGCAAGGGCGGCGCCAAGGCCCCCUCCACUGUCACCACGGAGGUGUCUACUGUGGCGGCGACGGCGUCUACACGGGGCAGCGGUGCGGUCGACGCGUUCAUCCCGGCCGACAUCCUGAGGUAGAUGCUGUCCCAGUCGGGGAGCUUCACGGCCGUUGGCGGGGGCGGUGGCUACGGCAUCGACCUGAGCGCGUGGCAGCAAAUGACCGGUGCCGCAGCAGCACCGCAGGGCGCCAGCGAUGUUGGCGCGGCCGGAGGGACGGCUCCGGGGGCCGAUGCCAACUGCGGCACAGGUGCGCAGUACUGGAGCUGAUGGCACCUGCAGGAUGACAUGCCCGGUUUCGACGGGACUUUCUAA
rnacentral:rRNA from 1 species